UUGGGAAGAGGUGAAAAAGGCACGUUAGAAACUGAAAGAGCCCUGCAAAGCUAAUCUGCUCAACCUUCACCUACUGGGUUCAAUGAAUAUGAAAAGCUGCCUUCCUGAAACUCUUCCUUCAAAGAGGAAAUGAUCUCCUGGAAUUCAAGCUUCUACAAGGUGGCUACCUGGUGUUUUCCACUUUUGCCUUCUCCUAAAAAGCAUCAAUCAAGCCUUGCCCUUUCAACCCACUGAACACAUAAACAUGCUUUCUCCUUAACUGAACUUAUGGUCAUGAUGAACUUGAACUCUGAGAUGCACAGAGGAGAGUUUGUUUUAACAGCUGCUUUUACAAUGAAGCCCUGGAGUUACUACUCUCAAGACCCCUGGUUCUGAUAGGCCGUCUUUUCACUGUCCUCUGCAUUUUCUAAUGCCCAGCUGUCAAGGAACACCCACUGAAGUUUUCCAAAAUAAAGGCACAAAACACAAGAAAGGCAAGAGAAUGCUAAUCACUGGAUGCAUGGGCAUCCUAUGUGGGGACCCCUUACA
rnacentral:antisense_RNA from 1 species